GAGGGAAUAGCUCAGCGGUAGAGCACAUGCUUAGCAUGCAUGAGGCCCUGGGUUCAAUCCCCAGUACCUCCA
rnacentral:tRNA from 1 species